CCUACGGGUGGCAGCAGUGGGGAAUAUUGCACAAUGGGGGGAACCCUGAUGCAGCAACGCCGCGUGAAGGAAGACGGUUUUCGGAUGGGAAACUUCUAUCAAUAGGGAAGAAAGAAAUGACGGUACCUAAAUAAGAAGCCGCGGCUAACUACGUGCCAGCAGCCGCGGUAAUACGUCGGGGGCAAGCGUUAUCCGGAAUUACUGGAUGUAAAGGGAGAGUAGGCGGCAAGGUAAGCGAUAUGUGAAAGCCUGAGGCUUAACCUGAGGAUGGCAUAACGAACUCUCUAGCUAGAGUACAGGAGAGGCAAUCGGCAUUCCUCGUGUAGCGGUGAAAUGCGUAGAUAUUAGG
rnacentral:rRNA from 1 species